UAAAGCAGAAAAGAGCGCAGAGUGAAUGCCUUGGCAUUGGGAGCCGAUGAAGGACGUGGUUAACUGCGAUAAGCUGCGGGGAGUUGUAAGCAAGCAUUGAUCCGCAGAUUUCCGAAUGGAGUAAUCCGCAUGAAGUAGUUCAUGCAUCCAUACGUGAAUUCAUAGCGUAUGGAGGGGAACCGCCUGAACUGAAACAUCUAAGUAGGGCGAGGAAAAGAAAUCAACCGAGAUUCCGUAAGUAGUGGCGAGCGAACGCGGAAGAGGCUAAACCAAGAGAAGAAAUUCUGUUGGGGUUUUGGACUGCAAACGGUAUUCUCAAUCUUUAGUCAAACAGUCUGGGAAGGCUGACCGGAGCGUGUGAUAGUCACGUAGACGAAAAGGAGCGAGAGCUAGCAGGAUCCAGAGUACCGCGGGGCACGUGAAAUCCCGUGGGAAGAUGGGGGGACCACCCUCCAAGCCUAAAUACUACCCAAUGACCGAUAGCGUAAAGUACUGUGAAGGAACGGUGAAAAGAACCCCGGGAGGGGAGUGAAAAGAACCUGAAACUCUGUGCUUACAAGCACAUAGAGCACGUCAAAGUGUGAUAUGGUACCUUUUGUAGAAUGGUCCGGCGAGUUAUGGUAUGCAGCGUGGUUAAGGACUUGAGGUCUGAAGCCGAAGCGAGAGCGAGUCUGACAAGGGCGAGAAGUUGUAUGCCAUAGACCCGAAACCGGGUGACCUAGCCAUGUCCAGGCUGAAGUGGAGGUAAAACUCCAUGGAGGGCCGAACCGACCUCCGUUGAAAAGGCGGCGGAUGAGAUGUGGCUAGCGGAGAAAUUCCAAUCGAACCCGGAUAUAGCUGGUUCUCCCCGAAAUAGCUUUAGGGCUAGCGUUGUAUUAGAUUGCCGGAGGUAAAGCACUGAAUGGGCUAGGGGCUGAGAAGUUACUGAACCCUAUCAAACUAAGAAUGCCGGACAAUUGAUGUACAGCAGUCAGACUAUGUGAGAUAAGUCUCAUAGUCAAAAGGGAAACAGCCCAGACCCACAGCUAAGGUCCCAAAAUGAAUUUAAGUGGAAAAGGAUGUGGAAUUGCACAGACAACCAGGAUGUUGGCUUAGAAGCAGCCACUCAUUAAAAGAGUGCGUAAUAGCUCACUGGUCGAGUGACUCUGCGCGGAAAAUAUAACGGGGCUAAGCAUGAAACCGAAGCUUGGGCUUGUCGUAAGACAGGGGUAGGGGAGCGUCGAGUAUGGGGUGAAGUCAGAGCGGAAGCACUGGUGGACUGUACUCGAGUGAGAAUGCCGGAAUGAGUAGCGAGAAUUAUGUGGGAAUCAUAAUGGCCGAAAAUCUAAGGUUUCUUGGGGAAGGUUCGUCCGCCCAAGGUAAGUCGGGAGCUAAGCUCAGGCCGAGAGGCGUAGGCGAUGCACAUACGGUAGAAAUUCCGUAACCACCGAAACUUAAACAGAGGGACACUUCAGGAUAGCGGAACCCGGGCGUUGGUUGACCCGGGCGAAAGGGAGCGAAAAUAGAGUAGCGAAGUCCGCGAUGCCUGGAGGCGAGAAAAGCUCUGAGGUAUGCUAAGGUGCCCGUACCGCAAACCGACACAGGUAGAUGAGGAGAGAAUCCUAAGGCCAACGGGAGAAGGGUUGUUAAGGAACUCGGCAAAUUGACCCCGUAACUUCGGAAGAAGGGGAGCCCCCUACGGGGGGUCGCAGAGAAAUGGCCCAAGCAACUGUUUACCAAAAACACAGGUCUAUGCUAAAUCGAAAGAUGACGUAUAUGGGCUGACGCCUGCCCGGUGCCGGAAGGUUAAGAGGAGAUGUCAGGCAACGAAGCAUUGAAUUGAAGCCCCGGUAAACGGCGGCCGUAACUAUAACGGUCCUAAGGUAGCGAAAUUCCUUGUCAGGU
rnacentral:rRNA from 1 species